GACAAGGACUGAGACCUGGAUCAGGGGCAGGAGGCGGGGCAUAGAGCAUUUCCUGUUGCUAAUGGAAAGGGUAGCUUUCCAGCUGACAUCCUGGUGCUAAGGCUCCCUCCCCACCUCCUGCUGAUAACCCGGUUCUGUGCUGUGGCUUUGGGAGCUGUUCCUGGAAAUUCAGCCUAGAGUCUGCUGCUCCAGCCCUCCCAACAACCCUGCAAGCUAUUUAAGGCCCUUUUGCUUAGGUCAAGUAGACAGUGGUCCGCUCUGUGCAACAGAAUCCCGACUCAGACAUCAUCUGUCCUCGGAGAGGAAACCCUAACAGUCUUUUAGCAAACCCUGCAGCGCUGCGGGAGGUGAAGCUUCUAGUCUAACCCAAACAUUUCCGCAAACUGCCACCAGCUGUUUUGCAAGAAGAUGACUAAUUUAUGAGAAUGGCUCGGAGUAUUUUUGGCUGUGUGUUUUAAUAAGCCCCUUCUUUGGAGUGAAAAACAAACAAACAAACAAACAAAAACCUAAGACACCGAUGACUUCUUUGAAAGAAAUAUCAGGAAUUUCAGAAACUGGAAGUAGCAGCCCAUACCUGAGAAUGACAGACCGCUGGACCCAAGGACCAUGUCAUACGCUCACAGCUGGUUUACCUCAUCUUUCUGUUGUUAUAAUUUAAACAUAUAUAUGCACAUGUGUCUGUAAUUACCUUUUAUUUAAAAAAUGUUAUCAAAUUUCUCAAAUUCACUGGUCUCCUUGUUUGGUCACAGAAUGGUCUUCAAGUGGUGUUGGUUUUCCACACACCUACCUCACCAUACAGGACACCUGGAGGUUGUGUCUAUUUUGAUCCAAGAAUGUGUGAGCUCUUGUACAUAACUCAAAGCAGUCAAAAGUUAACUAUCUCUGGGGAAUGCCACAUUAUACCACUGCUACCUUCCCAACUGGCCGGUCAGUAUUAAGGAAGAUGGGUCAUGUCGAUCAUGUGUCUGCAAGGGCUCUUUCCUGAAAAACUGAGUAAAAGCCCAGCUCCAGACCCUUCCAGGGCUGGACAGACUUCUCUCCUAGGACUCCCCUCCACCCACCUCACUUUCAGACUCCAAGUCUAGCUACCUGAAAUUCUGUUCCUUGUAGUCCUGUCUCUGUACCCUUGCUCAUUCUAUGCCCUUCCUGGAACACAA